rnacentral:lncRNA from 1 species
CUUUUGUUUACGAGAAUCCAACGCUCAAUCAAGUACAAACACGUUUAUUUUACUCCAAAUUUCCUAAGAAAUUUAAAACCCAGUCUUUCACAUAGAAAUGCCAAAUUGUAUGUGUGCAAGUCAUGUUGGCAUAAUUUUUUUGUGUUGUCUUUAUGCAUUUUAAUUUCGUUCAAAAGUUGUUCCGCGAUUGUGUUGUAAAUUUUUAUGAAUGCUGCAUCAAAAUUAAAUGUUCUUAUCUUAUCUCAUUCAAUACAGAAUCAAAAAUAAAUAUUAAAAUUAUUACCAUAGAGUGAUUUAACCCAGCUUUCUCCUGUUUGGUGCCUGAUUUUACUGGUAAGAUCAAUAGUCAAAUUGAAAGUGACAGUUUUCUCAAAAGUUCAC